UACGAAGGGGGCUAGCGUUGUUCGGAAUUACUGGGCGUAAAGCGCACGUAGGCGGAUUUGUAAGUCAGGGGUGAAAUCCCGGGGCUCAACCUCGGAACUGCCUUUGAUACUGCAAAUCUCGAGUCCGGAAGAGGUGAGUGGAAUUCCUAGUGUAGAGGUGAAAUUCGUAGAUAUUAGGAAGAACACCAGUGGCGAAGGCGGCUCACUGGCCCGGUACUGACGCUGAGGUGCGAAAGCGUGGGGAGCAAACAGG
rnacentral:rRNA from 1 species